rnacentral:rRNA from 1 species
AGUGAACGCUGGCGGUAGGCCUAACACAUGCAAGUCGAACGGCAGCACAGUAAGAGCUUGCUCUUACGGGUGGCGAGUGGCGGACGGGUGAGGAAUACAUCGGAAUCUACUUUUUCGUGGGGGAUAACGUAGGGAAACUUACGCUAAUACCGCAUACGACCUACGGGUGAAAGCAGGGGAUCUUCGGACCUUGCGCGAUUGAAUGAGCCGAUGUCGGAUUAGCUAGUUGGCGGGGUAAAGGCCCACCAAGGCGACGAUCCGUAGCUGGUCUGAGAGGAUGGUCCGGCACAACUGAACCUAAACAACGUCCAAGCUUCUAAGGGAGGGAGCAGGUGGGGAUUUUUGGCAAAUGGCGGAAACCCGGACCCAGCAUACCGGGGUGGGUGAAGAAGGCUUCGGGUUUGAAAACCCCUUUGUUGGGAAAGAAAAGCAGCAGGUUAAUACCCCGCUGUUCUGACGGUACCCAAAGAAUAAGCACCGGCUAACUUCGUG